UUGAGGAACUCAACAUUUUUAGACAAUGGCAAUUUCAAAAUUUUUACCCCUCUCGCAGUAUUGGGGAUGAAGCCUUGCGCCCUCUUGAGGGUGUGUAACUAAGUCAUUUCUGAAUAUUUUUUUACUUGUGACAUCUGAAAAUGAAAUGGAAAAUUUUUACCCCUCUUGCAGUAUUGGAGCCAAAAGUCACUCUUGGAAGUGUGACAACUAAGUCAUUUCUGAAUAUUGUUUUUUUUUUACCUUCAACCACUAAAAAUAUUCACUGGCAUCAGAAUAACAGUCAACAAGUCACAACAACUAGAAGAAUUUUGAAUUAACAGAAUCUAUAUAACUCAAACGCACAACAACAAACUACUGCACUAGAACAACAAACAACUCAACUAGAACAACAAACAACCAGUGAGCUUUUUUUAAAAAAAAAAAACAAUUUGCACACUUUUUGGCCAUGUUUUUGGCUAAAGAAAAUGCCACAUUUGCAGCUAAUGUUUGAUGCCCGUAGUCGGUUAAUGCAAAGGCCACAUUGCCCACAUUUCUGGCUUUGUGGCGUGGCCACCACUGCGGGGUCCACCUGAGUAAAGAGGGUGAAUGCAUUGAAGAGAGACAGAUCCAGCAUAUGAUAUGAUAUGGACAUUGGCCAUCGUAAUGUCCUCCAGCAGCAAGAAUAUGUGGCAGAUGCCUGCAAAUAACACACACACACACAAAAAAACACAUCAGAUGAUGUCAGAUGACCAGAGAGCUUUGAUGCAAAGUUUUGAAAAAGACAUAACAUAUGCUUACCUGGUCCAAGUGAUCGACUGCCGCUUUACACAGAUCGUAGUCCAAAAUAAUCUUGGGCUUUUUUUUUUAGACAAUCUGCUGGAUAAUGUCGUCCGGGCAAAACAGAUUGACAGUAGUCUCGGGGCUACUGAUCCUGGCAAUUGCAAAAAGCGUUGGGCCAGGCAAUAGAAUAGGGGGCAGGUUGAAGUGCCUCGAAACUUCAUUUGUAGAGGACCACACAAUUUCUUGGUUUUUGGCAAGCCAUGGAGUGCUGACCUGAUUCUGUUGUUGUUGCUCCUCUGCUGCUUCUGCUGUAACCUCCUCAAAAUCCUAAUCAUCAUCCUCUUCCUCCUCUCCUACAAGUGGCUCAAAAUCUUCAUCAUAGUCUUGUGACACAUCAUCCUUUUCAUCCAUUGAGUCUGUGGGACAUUCCUCCUCCAACACCAUUUUUCUUGCCUCCUGAAGAAAAAAUAUUCUCGCCAUCUCUGCUCACCAGCAGUCACAGGGAGUAAAAUGGCCUUUGAGUAGUGAUGGGACGAAAUGAGCCGAGGUUCCGAAGCUUGUGUCGAGUAAUGGGAGGGGGGUUUCCACGAAGCUUGUAGCGAGGCACGCUUCAUUUCGGCAAAACCCGGAAAUGAUGACGUGGGAAGCCUUGCCGGCGGCCGGCGGCCGGCUGAAUCUCGUGAGUGCUUCGGAAGUGAUCCAACGUUUGGCGCACAUUGCAAAAACAGGACAGACUACGGUAUAAAUUGGUUGAAAACGCAAUGGCGAUCGCCUGUUAUCGCACAUUUUGUGGAUUUCGGGCUCCUGUACUUGUUACAUCUGUGCGCAACAGUGCAACCAGUGCAAUCUUUUUUCGAGCCUUGUCCUUUGCUUGCGAUGGAACCUGCGCGAAAAGAGCGAUCCUCCCCUGUAUGGGAACAUUUUGAUUUGAUUGCUUUCAAUAAGAGCGAGUUCCGUAUAGGAGAACUUGACUAACCCUCCAGCAAGAUCUCCGCCUGGUUGCGGAAAACGUCGACCAGCCCGUACGACGCAAACUCCGACAGCUUGGCCAGCAGCUGCUCCUCGUUGCGAGACACUUUCUCCUGCGCGUAAAGACCGUCGGGCAUGACCCUCUGCUGUCCCAGGCCGAUCAGCGCCACCUCCGCAGCGAGCUCCUCCGUGUCCUCUACAUCCAGGAACUCAUCGUGAAGAAUCUCCAUCAGGGUGCUGUAGAGGGUCCCCACGGGGUCUAACGGGUGUCCCACCCAACCCUCCAGUGGCCGCCCUUGGCUGUCAAAGAGCUCCGAGUUGUCGUGGCGAGAGCAAUCGGCGUAGCGGUCCUCGGUGAGGAUGCGUUGCAGGUGGGGGUCCUGCCAGUUCAGGGAGCAGGCCUCUAUGGCUCUUGUGAAAACAGUUCGCUGAGUGUUUUUCUUCUGUGGGAUUUCACCUCCCAAGCCUGCUUAAAUGUGAAAAAACAAGUGCUAGUGUGCUACUACGGGCCGAAGGCUGCCCUCCACUGGCUAACUUGUAACCUACAGGCAAUAGGUCCACAAUUAAUUUGCCUCGCUGGGCAGUCGGGCUGCAGCUAUUAAAGGGAAUAGUUAUCUUUCUCGCACACACCAUAUAACUGUUUGCAUUACUCUAACACACUUAAUAUAAACAAUCAGGGAAUAGUACCGUUUCUCAUAUGUACUGUAGGAUUGUUUGUAGAGGUGGGAAUCUUUGGGCACCUAACGAUUCAAUUGCGAUUCAGAGACUCCGAUUCGAUUAUAAAUCGAUUAUUGAUGCCCCCCUCCCCCCCAUUUUAAAAAAUGUUUUGUAUAUUUGUUCCAAAAUUGUUCAAAAAUCCUCUCAGGCUAAAUAAACCAAACUACUAUUUUAGUAUCAAGUUACCGGUUAAAAACAGUAAAUAAAAUACUCAAGUCCCCAUUCUGUAUCAGCAGCUUUAAACCACAUUCAAUUAAUUUAAUGUUGUGAAUCAACCAUUAAAGUUGUUAAAAUUGCGCCCGUUAUUCCAUAAUUUCCCUCAUGUCUACUUUCGACAUGUGAAAGUUUUAAAACUGUUUGAUCAUUUAAAGAUAGAUUCAAGUCAAGAUUUUGCCGAUUUAGGGGUAUUUUAGAUAAAAAGUAAUUAGGUUCCCUACAACAGUGCCUUCUAGAGAAAUCUACUGCUUUAAGAUGGCGCCUGUUUACUAGCGCGGGAAAGUCUGUCAUUUCACAUCUAGUCUAGAUAUAUGUGAUAUCUACCAUAGCCGUAUGUUUGUAGCAACUAGAACUGGGCGCUGUUUGUAGCGGCUGACGGCCACAGUCAGGUAUUGUUUUUUUUUUUUUUUUUACCUAGCGGCAUUAGCUGCACAUGAUAUUUACUCUCGUUCCAUUCCUCGUUGCGCCCCAAAGACCGCGCGGUGCGCUGAGUGUGUUGUACUUCCGCUUUACCUGGUAUAAUUCAAUAAUCGGAAUUUGGAUGGUUGUGAAUCAUUCUCGAAUCUUCCACGGCCGAAUUGCGAAUAAUCUAAGAAUUGGAAAUUUUGCACCCCUCUAAUUGUUUGUACUACUCUAACACACCUAAUAUAAAAUAAAUAGCACACCAUAGUUUAAUGAAAAGAAGCAGAAUAGAUACACAACGCCAUCUUAUCACAGAAGCCCAACAUGUGCGUCACGAGCAAGAUUGACGCACCAACUCUCGCAAUCAUUUCUCCCGGCCACUCCAAAGACAAAGAGCAGGGCGCUUUGUCCUAAAACAAGUAGCGUCUCGCCCAGCCUGGGUAAUAAGUUGAUAGUGGGCGAUUGGGACGUCAAGACCAGCGUCGGUCGCUGUGGCAACCACGUCCCAGCCAUGAACGAUGAUGCACGAACCUAACCGCCCAAAACCGGCCACAGAGGGAUGACCCCAAGACAAUACCCAGCCACACCGUCGGCCCAGCCCAUUCGACCGCAGCUUUCAAAAAGACUGGA